ACACAUGCAAGUCGAGGGGAAACGACAUCGAAAGCUUGCUUUUGAUGGGCGUCGACCGGCGCACGGGUGAGUAACGCGUAUCCAACCUGCCCACCACUUGGGGAUAACCUUGCGAAAGUAAGGCUAAUACCCAAUGAUAUCUCUAGAAGACAUCUGAAAGAGAUUAAAGAUUUAUCGGUGAUGGAUGGGGAUGCGUCUGAUUAGCUUGUUGGCGGGGUAACGGCCCACCAAGGCGACGAUCAGUAGGGGUUCUGAGAGGAAGGUCCCCCACAUUGGAACUGAGACACGGUCCAAACUCCUACGGGAGGCAGCAGCGAGGAAUAUUGGUCAAUGGACGAGAGUCUGAACCAGCCAAGUAGCGUGCAGGAUGACGGCCCUAUGGGUUGUAAACUGCUUUUAUAAGGGAAUAAAGUGAGUCUCGUGAGACUUUUUGCAUGUACCUUAUGAAUAAGGACCGGCUAAUUCCGUGCCAGCAGCCGCGGUAAUACGGAAGGUCCGGGCGUUAUCCGGAUUUAUUGGGUUUAAAGGGAGCGUAGGCCGGAGAUUAAGCGUGUUGUGAAAUGUAGACGCUCAACGUCUGCACUGCAGCGCGAACUGGUUUCCUUGAGUACGCACAAAGUGGGCGGAAUUCGUGGUGUAGCGGUGAAAUGCUUAGAUAUCACGAAGAACUCCGAUUGCGAAGGCAGCUCACUGGAGCGCAACUGACGCUGAAGCUCGAAAGUGCGGGUAUCGAACAGGAUUAGAUACCCUGGUAGUCCGCACGGUAAACGAUGGAUGCCCGCUGUUGGUCUGAAUAGGUCAGCGGCCAAGCGAAAGCAUUAAGCAUCCCACCUGGGGAGUACGCCGGCA
rnacentral:rRNA from 1 species